UUGAGGACAAAGAUAACCUGUUAAAUUCCUUUGAGAGUCCCUCUGCGAUGAACUGAUCAUUUAUGGCUGUGUUAUGCUCGGAGACACAGCAUGUAGGACAAGUCUCAUCUGUAGACGUCCAUCACUUGCAUGCUCUUACAGUACUUCUUAAGUUACAUGACCUAUUGAGGGAGAACAAUGCCAUAAUUGACGUAUUGUUCAACCACCUUGAACUCUCAAGAGCCAAUGCUGCCUUUCACUGAACACACAUUGGCUACAAUUCAUCACUCUGCAUGUGUGUCUAUGAAGAAUGGCCAUUGUCAAGCUAUACUUUACGCCCUUUAAAGAUGUUUUAUGUGCGUCAUGGGCUCCUGUCAUAUAUAGAAUGUGCUAAGCUUUAUGGAGCCCUUAAUAUAGCACAAGUGACAAGUGUUAGAAUUGUCACACUUUCUUCAUCCUUCCAAGAGUUGAGCAACACCCUCCCGACCUCGACUCCUCCUUUAUUCAACACAUCUGUUGGAGCCAAAGCAUCGUCUUGAGCUACAGCAAAUCCCUCCUACACACUGACUACUUCUGUACUGGAUGGUUCAGCUCUUGCGAAACAUGCUAGAAUUCAGCUUUAAUUCUGUGUGAUGGGACCACUGGAUGUGACUAAUGAGAUUCAAAGAGAGAUUCACACCAGAGUUAGAGAGAUGGGAGAGCUUCAUUCCUCAUCAUGUCCUUUCUGUUCAAGGGAGAAACAAACGUAAGAUUAAUCCUCGACUUUUUACAAAAUGUGCUAUUUACUCAUGAUUA